rnacentral:lncRNA from 1 species
GAAAGCCUAAGUGCCCUAAAAGCCAUUUUAUAGGCAAAUUUAUUUUUAAAUAUUCUAUUUUGUUGCAAUUUAUUUGGAGUGAUUUGGAGCUUCGAAUCAAUUUUGAGGUUCAAAAACAGAAAAUAGAAAAAAAGAAAGGAAAAACCGGCCGAACCGGACCGAACCGCCGGUUCCUCUCACUAACCGGUGGGACCCGCUCGUCAUCUUCUCCAACUGCCGCCCAGAGUCCCCGCUGCGCACGACUCUGACUUCGCCCA